rfam:Anaerostipes sp. 992a contig000001, whole genome shotgun sequence.
ACUGUGGACUGUACAAGAACUUGUGAGUAGCGUAUUACUUGUAAUCGCAAAAGCAUACAGGAUGAAGCAGUAA